CGGCGCCGGAAAGAAAUGGCCACCCUCCGCUCUCUCCUCCCUGUCGAGUAUGUUAAGAGAAAGCGUAGUUCAAUCGGCAUGGGAGUAGAUGCAGGCGGCGGUGAAUUACAUCGAACUAACAGAUGCAUGCAUAUAUACCAAUUUGAAGGAGUUGGAGAGAAGAAGAGACUAGCUACGUACUUCUCAAUUUCUUCCCGGCCAUGGCUGCAGCUCAUCACCGUCGCCAGGGUAUGUCUCCGUCAGCCGUUCCGGGACGGCGGCUUGGAGAUCGUCGUUGACACUGGCUGCAAACUAGGUAUAGAGGAGAGAUUUCCCUUAUCAACACUGCUCAGAACCCUAGCUACCUAUUAAAUGAAGGGGUUGAGGUUGAGAUUGAGCUGUGUUAGUUUCUACAAGAACCAGCCAUAUAUAUGGCAGGCUGCUCGAUCCACAGAUUUCAAUUCAUUCCAAGGUAUGAGGAGAAAUAUGUGUUGAUGUUGGGGGCUUAGCUUGAAACAGAAGCUGAUCGAGUGGUGCAUUAAAUGCAUCGCAACCCAAUGUUCUUGACUUUUGAGGGUAUGCACCGAGUAAAUAUAGUCUUAUAACCUAAUUAGUAUUCACAAGAAGGUAAUAGACGUACUCAAACCAGGAAGCUAAGCUAAUAUAUAGGCUCAAUCUCUCAAGACAGCUUCAUUAAUUAGUUGCCAGUUUUAGUGGUUUCUUGAUGUAUACAAAUUAAAGCUAAGGUAGGUACGGAGUACCAGAUCAGAUAGGCUCUCUGAUCUACCUAAAAGAUGAU